GCGAUACAGGGUGACAGCCCCGUACACAAAAAUGCACAUGCUGUGAGCUCGAUGAGUAGGGCGGGACACGUGGUAUCCUGUCUGAAUAUGGGGGGACCAUCCUCCAAGGCUAAAUACUCCUGACUGACCGAUAGUGAACCAGUACCGUGAGGGAAAGGCGAAAAGAACCCCGGCGAGGGGAGUGAAAAAGAACCUGAAACCGUGUACGUACAAGCAGUGGGAGCACGCUUAGGCGUGUGACUGCGUACCUUUUGUAUAAUGGGUCAGCGACUUAUAUUCUGUAGCAAGGUUAACCGAAUAGGGGAGCCGAAGGGAAACCGAGUCUUAACUGGGCGUUAAGUUGCAGGGUAUAGACCCGAAACCCGGUGAUCUAGCCAUGGGCAGGUUGAAGGUUGGGUAACACUAACUGGAGGACCGAACCGACUAAUGUUGAAAAAUUAGCGGAUGACUUGUGGCUGGGGGUGAAAGGCCAAUCAAACCGGGAGAUAGCUGGUUCUCCCCGAAAGCUAUUUAGGUAGCGCCUCGUGAAUUCAUCUCCGGGGGUAGAGCACUGUUUCGGCAAGGGGGUCAUCCCGACUUACCAACCCGAUGCAAACUGCGAAUACCGGAGAAUGUUAUCACGGGAGACACACGGCGGGUGCUAACGUCCGUCGUGAAGAGGGAAACAACCCAGACCGCCAGCUAAGGUCCCAAAGUCAUGGUUAAGUGGGAAACGAUGUGGGAAGGCCCAGACAGCCAGGAUGUUGGCUUAGAAGCAGCCAUCAUUUAAAGAAAGCGUAAUAGCUCACUGGUCGAGUCGGCCUGCGCGGAAGAUGUAACGGGGCUAAACCAUGCACCGAAGCUGCGGCAGCGACGCUUAUGCGUUGUUGGGUAGGGGAGCGUUCUGUAAGCCUGCGAAGGUGUGCUGUGAGGCAUGCUGGAGGUAUCAGAAGUGCGAAUGCUGACAUAAGUAACGAUAAAGCGGGUGAAAAGCCCGCUCGCCGGAAGACCAAGGGUUCCUGUCCAACGUUAAUCGGGGCAGGGUGAGUCGACCCCUAAGGCGAGGCCGAAAGGCGUAGUCGAUGGGAAACAGGUUAAUAUUCCUGUACUUGGUGUUACUGCGAAGGGGGGACGGAGAAGGCUAUGUUGGCCGGGCGACGGUUGUCCCGGUUUAAGCGUGUAGGCUGGUUUUCCAGGCAAAUCCGGAAAAUCAAGGCUGAGGCGUGAUGACGAGGCACUACGGUGCUGAAGCAACAAAUGCCCUGCUUCCAGGAAAAGCCUCUAAGCAUCAGGUAACAUCAAAUCGUACCCCAAACCGACACAGGUGGUCAGGUAGAGAAUACCAAGGCGCUUGAGAGAACUCGGGUGAAGGAACUAGGCAAAAUGGUGCCGUAACUUCGGGAGAAGG
rnacentral:rRNA from 1 species